GAUGAACGCUGGCGGCGUGCUUAACACAUGCAAGUCGAACGGAAAGGCCCAAGCUUGCUUGGGUACUCGAGUGGCGAACGGGUGAGUAACACGUGGGUGAUCUGCCCUGCACUUCGGGAUAAGCCUGGGAAACUGGGUCUAAUAUCGGAUAGGACCACUUCUUGGAUGUUGUGGUGGAAAGUUUUUUCGGUGUGGGAUGAGCUCGCGGCCUAUCAGCUUGUUGGUGGGGUAAUGGCCUACCAAGGCGUCGACGGGUAGCCGGACUGAGAGGGUGUACGGCGACAUUGAGACUGAGAUACGGCCCAGGCUCCUACGCGAGGGAGCAGUGGGAAAUAUUGCACAAGGAGCGCAGGCCUGAUGCAGAGACGCCGCGUGGGGGAUGACGGCCUUCGGAUUGUAAACUACUUUCGCUAGGAACGAAGCGUUUUGUGACGGUACCUGGAGAGGAAGCACCGGCUAACUACGUG
rnacentral:rRNA from 1 species